AUAAGCGGAGGAAAAGAAACUAACAAGGAUUCCCCUAGUAACGGCGAGUGAAGCGGGAAGAGCUCAAAUUUAAAAUCUGGCAGUGUAUUCUGUCCGAGUUGUAGUCUAGAGAAGCAUCAUCCGUGCUGGACCAUGUACAAGUCUCUUGAACAGAGCGUCAUAGAGGGUGAGAAUCCCGUCCUUGACAUGGACUCCCAGUGCUUUGUGUUGUGCUCUCAACGAGUCGAGUUGUUUGGGAAUGCAGCUCAAAAUGGGUGGUAAAUUCCAUCUAAAGCUAAAUAUUGGCGAGAGACCGAUAGCGAACAAGUACCGUGAGGGAAAGAUGAAAAGCACUUUGGAGAGAGAGUUAAACAGUACGUGAAAUUGUUGAAAUGGAAACGCUUGAAAGUCAGUCGCGUUCUCUGGGAUUCAGCCUGGCUUCUGCCUGGUGCAUUUCCUAGUCUACGGGCCAGCAUGAAUUUCGACCGAUAGAAAAGGGCUUGAGGAAUGUGGCACCUUCGGGUGUGUUAUAGCCUCUUGUCGUAUGUGUCGGUUGGGAUUGAGGACCUCAGUGCACGCUUUUGUUGUGCUUUGAUGCUGGCG
rnacentral:rRNA from 1 species